rnacentral:rRNA from 1 species
GUGGGGAAUUUUGGACAAUGGGCGAAAGCCUGAUCCAGCAAUGCCGCGUGUGUGAAGAAGGCCUUCGGGUUGUAAAGCACUUUUGUCCGGAAAGAAAUGGCUCUGGUUAAUACCUGGGGUCGAUGACGGUACCGGAAGAAUAAGGACCGGCUAACUACGUGCCAGCAGCCGCGGUAAUACGUAGGGUCCAAGCGUUAAUCGGAAUUACUGGGCGUAAAGCGUGCGCAGGCGGUUGUGCAAGACCGAUGUGAAAUCCCCGAGCUUAACUUGGGAAUUGCAUUGGUGACUGCACGGCUAGAGUGUGUCAGAGGGGGGUAGAAUUCCACGUGUAGCAGUGAAAUGCGUAGAGAUGUGGAGGAAUACCGAUGGCGAAGGCAGCCCCCUGGGAUAACACUGACGCUCAUGCACGAAAGCGUGGGGAGCAAACAGGAUUAGAAACCCCUGUAGUCC